rnacentral:tRNA from 4 species
CGCGGGGUGGAGCAGCCUGGUAGCUCGUCGGGCUCAUAACCCGAAGGUCGUC